UACGUAGGGGGCAAGCGUUAUCCGGAGUUACUGGGUGUAAAGGGUGAGUAGGCGGCAUGGUAAGCCAGAUGUGAAAGCCUUGGGCUUAACCCGAGGAUUGCAUUUGGAACUAUCAAGCUAGAGUACAGGAGAGGAAAGCGGAAUUCCUAGUGUAGCGGUGAAAUGCGUAGAUAUUAGGAAGAACACCAGUGGCGAAGGCGGCUUUCUGGACUGAAACUGACGCUGAGGCACGAAAGCGUGGGGAGCGAACAGG
rnacentral:rRNA from 1 species